GAUGAACGCUGGCGGCGUGCUUAACACAUGCAAGUCGAACGGAAAGGCCCAAGCUUGCUUGGGUGCUCGAGUGGCGAACGGGUGAGUAACACGUGGGUGAUCUGCCCUGCACUUUGGGAUAAGCCUGGGAAACUGGGUCUAAUACCGGAUAGGACCACGUUUUGGAUGGUGUGGUGGAAAGUUUUUCGGGGUGGGAUGAGCCUGCGGGCUAUCAGCUUGUUGGUGGGGUAAUGGCCUACCAAGGCGUCGACGGGUAGCCGGCCUGAGAGGGUGUACGGCCACAUUGGGACUGAGAUACGGCCCAGACUCCUACGGGAGGCAGCAGUGGGGAAUAUUGCACAAUGGGCGCAAGCCUGAUGCAGCGACGCCGCGUGGGGGAUGACGGCCUUCGGGUUGUAAACUCCUUUCGCUAGGGACGAAGCGUUAUGUGACGGUAGCUGGAGAAGAAGCACCGGCUAACUACGUG
rnacentral:rRNA from 1 species